CUGCUCUGCUGCUGCUGUAGAAAGGAAAACAUGUUUUCCUACUACAGCAGCCAUCCCAAGUAUGUCCAAAGCCCCCCCUCCCGGCCGCGACCCCCCUUCACCUCCUCCAGCGGCACUUGCGGCACAGACUGUAUACUUAUGGCGGCGCAAUGGGAGGCUGCUUCACUAGCCCUAGCCUCACUGCGCCGCACACAGUGACGUCAGCACGUGACAAUGCUGCCCCAGCACCGCCGCGCACGCUCUGAAGGAAGCAGCAGCGCAGCAGCAUGGGCUGAUCAGCAUACUGUAACAGCAGCAGAAACGGGCUGCUCCGUGAAGGCAGCCUGAGAGACAGCGUGAUUGAGUAUCAUGAGGGGAGGGGAGGUGCUGGCUGUCAGCCUGGCUCCUACACUGAUAGUAAUAUCAUCUGGCAAAGAGAUUUGCAGAGUGUCGAGUGACCGGCAAAGAGAUCUGCAAAGUGUCAGUUGAAGACGACGGGAGGGGUCGCAGAGGUAGCAACGACUGGAGUAUAACAUGCAGGACAUCAUCAUUUGGCAAAGUUCUGGCAAAGAGAUUUGCAGAGUGUCGGGUGACCGGCAAAGAGAUCUGCAAAGUGUCAGUUGAAGACGACGGGAGGGGUCGCAGAGGAAUUAGUGACUGGAGAAUAGCAUG